ACACAGUUACACAGAGACACUUAACAUAAAGGUGGGACAUCAGCUUUUAUUUAAAACCAUAAACUUUUAUGUAAAACUGUCAGCUUAUAUUUAAGAUUGUUAUUUGUUUUUAUUUAAACCAGUCAGCUUUUGUAAGGGAUGCUUUGCUUUUGUUUUCUUUUGUCUUUCCUUUUUGUAAAAGUAGUCUGACUCUUCUGGGCCACUGUAAGUGGGUGGGCACACAGGUUUCCUGUUUUACUCUUGUAGCAGCUGAUAUGAUCUUAUGAUCUUCAUAUAUCCCUGCAGAUGGAACGUGAGUCUUCAAGCUGACGGACUCUGUAAGGGUUAGUUCUGAUUCUGAUUUAGUGGUGUUGUGUUACUCAUAAGCUUUAGAAAUGGAUCUGAGUAAGUGGAGCGAUUUCUUUAAACAGUACCCUUACAGUAGCAGUGUGUUCUUCAGCCUCAUUCUUGUGGCUAUGGAGAAAGUUGUUGAGAAAGAAUUUGUGUGCCCUUGUAAAACCGGAUUUACAGUGGCACUUUUCUGUUGUUACUUACUGGUGCCCAUGGUCAUCACUUUUGCCUUUGGAUUUUACCUUCUGAGCAUUGAAUGUGUUUGCUCACCAUAUGAAGAACGUUGUAUAAAUUUCCUGAAAUUUCUGGCCUGUAUGGUUCCAUCUGUUGUUUGGCUGGCCUUGUUUCUCUGUGAUGGUAGAUACAUAGCUUGUUUAAAAACUGAGUUCAAUGCAGAUUUUGCUGACAGCGGUAAGACUUCUCCAUGGAAAUGGUGUGAAAAACCCCAAGCACUGACUCCUGUCGAGCUCAGUGCUCUGAUGUCAUUCUACAUAUCUAAGUUGGCAGGCUUUUGCUGUCCUUGUCCUCAUCUCAGUUAUAGCAAUGAUUUAUAAAUGCUGCAAGAAAUGUCGUAAAUGCCUAGACCUCACUGAAACGAAGCCCUGCUGCUCGGCCCAUGGUAAAACCUGCAGCACAGCCCACUGCAAAAAAUGCUGUGAACGCCACAAACUAAACUGCUGCGCAGCACACAGAGAUAUGCCCUGCUUAGCCCACCCUCGCGAAGGAUCUGAAAACAUUCCUCUUGUGCGCAGGGAUGUCAUUGCUCCCAGCCCUUGUGACAAAACAAAAGACUGCCCUUGUCUUUGUCACCAAUCCUGCUCCUGUGACUGUCACAAGCCCUAGCCCUCGAUUGUUACCUACUCACAAAUGCAGAUCCACCUGAUUCAGUUUCCUCCUCUGUUACUGAUUCAGUUCCCUCCUCUGUUACUGAUUCAGUUUCCUCCUCUGUUACUGAUUCAGUUCCCUCCUCUGUUACUGAUUCAGUUUCCUUCUCUGUUACUGAUUCAGCUCCCUCCUCUGUUACUGAUUCAGCUCCCUCCUCUGUCACUGAUUCAGACCUCUCCUCUAUUACUGGUUCAGUUCCCUCAUCUGUUACUGAUUCAGUUCUCUCUUCUGUCACUGAUUCAGCUCCCUCCUCUGUUACUGAUUCAGUUCUCUCCUGUUACUGAUUCAGUUCCCUCCUCUGUUACUGAUUCAGUUUCCUCCUCUGUUACUGAAAAAAUGCUGCGAAUGCCACAAACUAAACUGCUGCGCAGCACACAGAGAUAUGCCCUGCUUAGCCCACCCCCGGAAAGGAUCUGAAAACAUUCCUCUUGUGCGCAGGGAUGUCAUUGCUCCCAGCCCUUGUGACAAAACAAAAGACUGCUCUUGUCUUUGUCACCAAUCCUGCUCCUGUGACUGUCACAAGCCCUAGCCCUCGAUUGUUACCUACUCACAAAUGCAGAUCCACCUGAUUCAGUUUCCUCCUCUGUUACUGAUUCAGUUUCCUUCUCUGUUACUGAUUCAGUUCCCUCCUCUUUUACUGGUUCAGUUCCCUCCUCUGUUACUGAUUCAGUUCUCUCCUCUGUCAUGGAUUCAGUUCCCUCCUCUGU